ACGGCGUCAUCGAUUGUAACAGCAACUCCAUGUGGACUGUGCGUCAAUUUCCAGUGGAGAUGCUGUUACUUUUGAUGGCUGCCAA
rnacentral:pre_miRNA from 8 species